rnacentral:rRNA from 1 species
AGUCGAGGGGUAUUAGGGGCUUGCUCCUAAGAGACCGGCGCACGGGUGCGUAACGCGUAUGCAACCUACCUUCAACAGGGGGAUAGCCCAGAGAAAUUUGGAUUAAUACCCCAUAGUAUUAUAGGAUGGCAUCAUCUUAUUAUUAAAGUCACAACGGUUGAAGAUGGGCAUGCGUCCCAUUAGUUAGUUGGUAAGGUAACGGCUUACCAAGACGAUGAUGGGUAGGGGUCCUGAGAGGGAGAUCCCCCACACUGGUACUGAGACACGGACCAGACUCCUACGGGAGGCAGCAGUGAGGAAUAUUGGUCAAUGGGCGCAAGCCUGAACCAGCCAUGCCGCGUGCAGGAUGACGGUCCUAUGGAUUGUAAACUGCUUUUAUACGGGAAGAAACAGCGGAACGUGUUCCGCCUUGACGGUACCGUAGGAAUAAGGAUCGGCUAACUCCGUGCCAGCAGCCGCGGUAAUACGGAGGAUCCAAGCGUUAUCCGGAAUCAUUGGGUUUAAAGGGUCCGUAGGCGGCCCUGUAAGUCAGUGGUGAAAUCUCCCGGCUCAACCGGGAAAUUGCCAUUGAUACUGCAGGGCUUGAAUUACUGGGAAGUAACUAGAAUAUGUAGUGUAGCGGUGAAAUGCUUAGAGAUUACAUGGAAUACCAAUUGCGAAGGCAGGUUACUACCAGUGGAUUGACGCUGAUGGACGAAAGCGUGGGUAGCGAACAGGAUUAGAUACCCUGGUAGUCCACGCCGUANACGAUGGAUACUAGCUGUUGGGGGCAACUUCAGUGGCUAAGCGAAAGUGAUAAGUAUCCCACCUGGGGAGUACGAACGCAAGUUUG